rnacentral:rRNA from 1 species
UGAAUACGAGACGCUAAGGCGUCGAAGUAGUGUAUGUCAUACUUCCAAGAAAAGCUUGCACUGUCAUAAGUAAAAAAUGCCUGUACCAUAACCGACACAGGUGGGUAGGUAGAGUAUACUAAGGGGCGCGAGAUAACUCUCUCUAAGGAACUCGGCAAAAUAACUCCGUAACUUCGGGAGAAGGAGUACCUUAUUCUAUAAGGUUGCAAUAACAAGAUCCAAGCAACUGUUUAUCAAAAACACAGGUCUCCGCUAAGUCGUAAGACGAUGUAUGGGGGCUGACGCCUGCCCAGUGCCAGAAGGUUAAAGAAGUCGGUUAGCAUUAGCGAAGCUGGUAACUGAAGCCCUGGUGAACGGCGGCCGUAACAAAAACGGUCCUAAGGUAGCGAAAUUCCUUGUCGGGUAAGUUCCGACCCGCACGAAAGGCGUAAUGAUUUGGAUACUGUCUCGGAGAGGGGCUCGGUGAAAUAGACUUGUCUGUGAAGAUGCGGACUACCUGCACCAGGACAGAAAGACCCUAUGAAGCUUUACUGUAACUUGAAAUUGAAAUUGGACUUUAUUCGCGCAGUAUAGGUGGGAGGUGUUGAUUAUAAUCUUGCGGGAUUAUUGGAGCCAUCAGUGAGAUACCACUCUUGUAAUGUUAGAUUUCUAACUUUGAAUCAUUAUCUGGUCAAAGGACAGUUUCAGGCGGGCAGUUUGACUGGGGCGGUCGCCUCCCAAACGGUAACGGAGGCGUACAAAGGUUUCCUCUGAACGGGUAGAAAUCGUAUCUAGAGUGUAAAGGCAUAAGGAAGCUUGACUGUGAGACCUACAAGUCGAACAGGGACGAAAGUCGGUCUUAGUGAUCUGACGGUACUGAGUGGAAAGGCCGUCACUCAACGGAUAAAAGUUACUCUAAGGAUAACAGGCUGAUCUCCCCCAAGAGUUCACAUCGACGGGGAGGUUUGGCACCUCGAUGUCGGCUCAUCGCAUCCUGGGGCGGUAGUACGUCCCAAGGGUUGGGCUGUUCGCCCAUAAAAGCGGUACGCGAGCUGGGUUCAGAACGUCGUGAGACAGUUCGGUCCAUAUCCGGUGUAGGCGUUAGAAUAUUGAGAGGAGCCUUCUUUAGUACGAGAGGACCGAGAAGGACAUACCUCUGGUGUACCAGUUAUCGUGCCAACGGUAAACGCUGGGUAGCUAUGUAUGGAGUGGAUAACCGCUGAAAGCAUCUAAGUGGGAAGCCCACCUCAAGAUAAGUAUUCUCAUC